rnacentral:rRNA from 1 species
GAUGAACGCUAGCGGCAGGCUUAAUACAUGCAAAUCGAGGGGCGAGCAGUCCCGCAGCAAUGCGGGAGCUGGCGACCGGCAAACGGGUGCGGAACACGUACAGAACCUUCCUUCGAGCGGGGAAUAGCCCAGAGAAAUUUGGAUUAAUACCCCAUAGCAUUACGAAGUGGCAUCACUUUGUAAUUAAAGAUUUAUCACUCGAAGAUGGCUGUGCGGCUGANAGGUAGUUGGCGGAGUAACGGCCCACCAAGCCUUCGAUCAGUAACUGGUGUGA